rnacentral:rRNA from 1 species
AUGCUUCUCCUAAAGACUAAGCCAUGCAUGCCUUCGAAUAAGAAGACGCAAUUUCUCUGAAUCUGCGAACGGCUCCGCACACCAGUUGUAAACCAUAGCGAGCAAACCUGGGGGAGGCGCUCUUUACUGGGCGACUGCCCCGGGUUGCAUAUGGAUAUCCAUGGUAAUCCUGAGGCUAAUACAAGUACAUAGGACCCUGCCGACCGGGCAACUGGAAGGCAGGGGGUUGUGUGAAGCUUAACCGCGACACUCGACCAUGAAUAGACGCACAAUCAGACCACCACAUCAAGAACGGUUGGGUUCCGCGCCGUCUCCUCUCGGGGGGAAGGCCGGGGCCUGUCCGGGUGGCUCUCGCUUUGUGCUUCUGACCUAUCAACUAGAUGGCAGCGUAAGGGACAUGCCAUGGUGACAACGGGUACAGAGGAUAAGGGUUCGAUCCUGGAGAGUGGGCCUGAGAGAUUGCUCACACUUCUAAGGAAGGCAGCAGGCGCGUAACGUUCCCAAUGGGUAAAACCUGAGGGCGUUAGGGGACAUAUGAAUGCC